UCCCAUUGCCGGAUGGUUCCGCUUCUGCCCAUCGACCAGACUCUCCUACUAGUCGGUGUGACCGUGACCUUGUGCCCGGUCUGAGGAUGCCCUCCGUCGUCACUCCUUAUAACCCGUUACCCGCGUUCGGACUGGGUCGGUGCGGCGCACUCACUACUUCCGGAAGCCCAACAUUUCGAGACACCCCUCCCUUCUUUUUGAACCCAAGCUUAUCCCGAGCUCCAACUGCCAUGGAGGAAUCGUUCGUGGCCGAUUGAGACACGGUCGUCGGCGCCAUUCUGUCUCCCACGUUUGCAACGAGCCUUAGUGACCCGCAUUUCCCGCGCAUCCGCCUAGCCCUUCAGCCCACACUUUAGGGACCCGAGUUGGAUCCUUGACGUAAGCUUUGAGGGCCAGAUCUCACUGCCUCUCCUUUCGCCUUAAGGGCCACAUCUCCACUUUAAGCAUCUAUAGCCCUCCUUGUGGUCUCCGCUUCCGCCGAAAGACCUGCAACUGACUGCGACUCCGCGCUUUCGCACCCCUCGUUUGUCCUAAUCUAUGGGACCAUCAGGUGCGGCAUUUGCUACCCGUGAUCCACAGCGCUGCUACUGGCAACGCCGCGGCAUCGAUUGCGUGAUUCACGGGGCG
rnacentral:rRNA from 1 species